rnacentral:sRNA from 1 species
GCUGGGCAUGGUGGCGCAUGCCUGUAAUCCCAGCUACUCUGGAGGCUGAGGCACAAGAAUCACUUGAACCCAGGAGGCGGAGCAGUGAGUUGAGAUCAUGCCACUGUACCCCAGCCUGGGCAACAGAGUGAGACUCUGUCUCCA